CGACUUUGAGCCUGCAAGUUUGGACAGAAUGGACCUAUUAUCAUAUCCAUGAUUCUCCACAAUUUGUGAGAGAUUUUUUUAUUUGCUAUAUUGAAAGUUAAAAUAGUGCUAAUUUGCUGAGAAAUUGGUUUACUAGUCCUAGGAGAGUAGCCAACACGCAUGCGCGUUUUGUUUCCUACGCUCCCUACCCUCUCGAGCCACCAGGGGCUAGUCGUUGGAGCGCAAUGGCGGUGCACCGGGGACCUUCUUCGAAAUGGCUCUUUUCCCGGGAGCAACUAGAAACAACGCCGUCCCGCCGCAGUGGAGUCGAAUCUGAUAGGGAACUUUCUUACCGACAGCAAGCCGCCAACCUAAUUCAGGAUAUGGGCCAGAGACUCAACGUCUCUCAACUCAUCAUCAACACUGCAAUCGUUUACAUGCAUAGAUUUUAUAUGAUUCACUCUUUCACUAAGUUUCAUAGGAAUAUCAUCUCCCAAACAACCUUGUUCUUGGCUGCGAAGGUGGAGGAACAACCCAGGAAGCUUGAACAUGUCAUCAAAGUGGCCCACGCCUGCGUUAACCCCCAGGAUGCCCCACUAGACACCAAGAGUAAUGCCUACCAUCAGCAAGCUCAGGAGCUGGUGAUACUAGAAACGAUAGUACUGCAGACGCUAGGUUUUGAAAUAACGAUUGAACAUCCUCACACUGAUGUUGUGAGAUGUUCCCAGCUAGUGCGAGCAAGCAAGGAUUUGGCACAGACUUCCUAUUUCAUGGCUACCAACAGGUUGUUAUCCUGACCCCGCCCCCCCACUAUGUUGCACUGUGAUGGCACACUAUAGCUUCCUGUACUGGCAGGUCCCCCUUCCUGUGUCCAACGCCCUCUUUGCGCCAGGCAGGUUUCUGGUAAACCCCUAGGGGCGGUACCGGACAGCCAGCCAGGCUGCAGCAGUGCGGUGUAUUGUACAAGGGCUCAGUGUUGGCACAUAGGGGUUGAAUGCACAAUGUGAACGUGUUGGUUGUGCUGUAGACUGUCCUCACUGACCGUUUGGUUGCUCCAGAGUGCAUAUGUCUCCUCCUUCCUAAAACACAAUUGGUAGCCUGAAUAUAGCUUGCCACUAAAGAUCAGUGAAAAGAUGUAAACUAUAGCAUCUGUCCCGGUAAGUAUUAAUAACCUUUAGUUUUUUCUUGAUUUAUGUUUGAUAAAUAGAUAGAUAUAUAUAUAUACACACACAAGGGUAACAAGCUAAUUCUUAGUGAUAAUUGACACACCUAAUACUCCAGUAGUAAAAUGAUCAUCCAUAAUUCUCUCUAAUAUAUGAAUGACUUGUAUGCUAUAGGUAUCCUCUUCUUUACCAUAGUAGAAUAUAAACAUUACAGUUCAUUAUUUUCCUAAAUGUAAUUUUAGUAACUGUACUUGCCCUGACUUAGAUGAAUAAUUUUGCUAUCCUAUCAACAGCAGUAUACAAUGUCUGGACAGAGGGCAAAAAAAUGUUAGUUUUUUUACACGGUCAAAAGGCUACUUCCAUAAUGAAUGUAUUGCCCAGAUUUUUGCAAUGCAAGACGAUUGAACCAUUUUGAAAAGGGACAUUUUAAAAAGAAAGUUGGCAAAGGUAUGAGUGAGAUGGCAUAACUUGACAGGCUGGACUGGAACACAGCAGGUGGAUGGUGGACAUCAAUUAUCUCUAGGAAACGAGCUUGAUCCCAAUAAAAUGCUCAGUACUCUCAAAGAACAAGUUUACCGUCUAGGUUGUCCUCAAUGUAUCAGUUUUCUACGGUAAGAUUCUGUAUGAAAUGGUAAGAGAAACAGCCACGAUCAUCCAUCAUAGAAAACCACCUGUGGUACGUGCCUCUGCCACUCACUCUCUCAACAGUCUGGAAUAUGAAGGCAGUAUUAUAAUAUGGACUGUAUGCAUGCAGAUCAGCUGCACUCUGAGCUUUAUUAGACCAGAGACAUGGCUCUAGUCUGGAGACACCAUAGAGAUGUUCAAACCUCUCCCCGGGGACCCCCAGCCCUUCCACAACUAGCACACCUGAUUCAACUUGUCAACUAAUCGUCAAGUCCUUGAUUAGGUGAUUCAACUUGUCAACAAGUCCUUGAUUAGGUGAAUCCGUGCUCUAGUUCAGGGCUGCAAUAGAAUUGUGAAACGUCUGGGAUUUCCCGGGGAAAGGUUUGAAAACCAGUUCCAUAUGGGACUUCAGCCAUGUCCCAGGGAUAGUGCUAAUGUCCUGUAUUCCAACCCUAGAACUGUAGCUAACGGGUGUCUCCUCUGUGGUCUUCCCUCCGACAGCCUCCACCUCACCACGUUCUGCCUGCAGCACAAGCCCACAGUCAUCGCCUGCGUCUGCAUCCACCUGGCCUGUAAAUGGUCCAACUGGGAGAUCCCGGUCUCCACUGAUGGGAAACACUGGUGGGAGUAUCUGGACCGCACCGUCACGCUCACACUGCUGGACGAGCUGACCAAUGAAUUCCUGCAGAUUCUGGAGAAGACGCCCAGCAGGCUGAAAAGGAUACGUAACUGGAGGGUAGGUUCUGCUCUCACAACUGGUGCCACACAAGCUGCCAAGAAGCCCAAGAUGGACAGUCAAACGGGCGACACCUCCUUCCAAGGGACCUCCUCAUUGGACGGCAUCACCGGUGUGGCCGGCAGCAACUCAUUCUUCUCUUCGUCUCUGUCAGACUCUGGGGAGAUGGCUUCACUAGACGACAUGUCUAUCCCGUUCCCUCCCUACCAGGCCCUGGCUGGGGACCACGCUGAGCUGCUGGGGCUGGACCAGGGCCUUGCGUUUCUUCCUCAAGCCAUCCCUUCAAAGUACCCAUCAGGCAAACACGAACACAAAACGGCCAGUGCAGGCAAGCACCCACAGGCCCUACCCAAUAACCCCUCGCCCUUCACCCGGCCCCCACAGAAACUCUCCCUGGAUAAGUACAGAGAGAAACAGGCGGCAGACCUGCAGACCAUGCAGAACGGUGUCCGAGAGGAGCAGAGCGGUGUGGACAUGUACCAGUCCCCCGCCCUCCCUCACCACCAGUCCCAUAAAAGACGCUCCCAGCCUGGGCAGGGUGUCUCCCAGCACGGGGACAGCAGGAGGGACAAGGCCAGCUCUAAAAAGACACGAGGUCUCCCACCACAGGCUUCGGCGGUUGAGAACGGCGUUGCGGCCAGCAACGAGGAGCUAAAGAUGAGAAUCAAAGUAUCAGCUGAGAGGGACCAGGGCGGCCAUGUUGGUGUCCCACAGGGCAAAGAGAAGUACAAAGACCACUCUGGCCCCAGCAGACACCCCAAGCACGGCCACUCGCACCCCUAUUCCCUCAGCGGGAACGGCCGAGGGGCCAUCGACCCCGCCCUGGCACUCAGAGUCCUCGGGGGCCAUGGUAGCGACCUAGGGGGCUCCAGUUCCUCCUCCAGGAAACGGGCCAACCCUGACGUCAGUAGUCAUAACAACCACCACCACUCUGCUAAGAGCAGCAGGAGUUCCAAAGGGGCCGGAGGCUCCUCCCACUACUCUUCGGACGGUGGUGGUGGCCCGAGGACUGUGGAGAGACACCACGGUGGCCCGGAGGGGUCAAAUGGAGUGCUGGGGUCUAACGGCCAACACACCGACUACAAAGACACUUUUGACAUGCUGGACUCUCUGCUAAGUGCCCAGGGAAUGAACCUGUAAAUUCAGACAGUCGUUUAGCCUGGGUGCAGGCUGUUUGGCUCUCUUGCCAACUCCGUCCAAAUAUGUUUGGCUUGACAUUUGAGUUGGCAAGACUGGACAAACUAAUCUGGAUAGUAGGCUUGGCAGGAGUUGUUGGAUAGAGAUAAAAUAAUUCUGGAAAAAAAGUUUUUUAUGAUUUAAAACAAGUAAAACAUGAUUUUAUAACUUUGAAGUUAUGUGAAAGUAACUUCGUCACCCAGUCAGUCAGUCAGUCCUGUCCACACACGGUAAUAAUUACUGAUGCUUUAAGGAUCUUCAGAAAUGUCCACAUGAUAUAUACACAGUGCUGUAAUGCUACUUGUCUGCUUGCUAAAAAAACCCCGGGAGCCACAUUCACUGGUUCUGUGAUUGACAAAAUUCCAGAUUUUUAAUUCUGUUCUUUUAAGGGAGAGAUAAAGAGAAGUCUGCGUUUUUAUUAGUUAUUUGUUAUUAAUGAUGUGCAUGUUUCAAUCACAUAAGGGAAGAUAGCAGCCUGGUGGCGGUUCAGUGUCCACGUAAAUGCGUGUACGUUUUUGUAUGUUAAGAAACAACCUUAUUCCUUGAAAUACUCAGGUCUUGAAACAUUUUUUGAUAUAAAGAACGAAAUAAAUCUUCCUCUCUUGGCGUAAUACCUGUAUCUGUAGAGAUGUAUAACUUCUGUCAUGUUGUUGGUUGAAGGCUGCAGAAGUACAGCAUCUAUCUGACUGUAGAGGCUGUUUCAGUGUGCUUGUCUUCUAAUGGGAGGACACGCAAUCCAACUCAUCACACAUGGCUAGUCAGAGGACAUACCAAGGCCCUUUCCCAGAUCACCACCUCAUAGACCCUAUGUGUGUAUCCAAAAUGGCACCCUAUUCCCUAUGUAGGACACUACUUUUUGACCAGGGCCCGCAAAGUUCCCAGCUGGGAAAAACACUGGGUCCUGAUCGAAAGUAGUGUACUACAUAGGGUAUAGUGUGCCGUUUUGAGAGAGACAUCCUUAUGCGCUUGUGGGAUCUCAAGUACUUAGGGUCUAGGGGUUGAUUGGGGACUGGACAUUAUGCUGUCUACUGUCAAACUAAGUGGAUGCCAAAGGCUGUGCCUGUAAAACGUACGGCAGAUUAUUCUAGAGCUAUAAAAGAAGUUUACGUUAUAUCUGCUGUGAAGUGCAUUUAAAAAGAUAUCUCGGCAUAUUUACAAAAAGCCUUGUGAUUGUAACAAGUCGUCAACAAGUUGCUAUUCUUCAAUUUUGAUUAAUGUCUAAUUAACCAACCGCCAUCCUAUGAAAAGAUCUCUAGAGGUGAUUGUAUAUAGGACUGCAGUUCUGAGUUAUAACUAGCUAGUCGGUUGACUUGUUACACCCUCAGACCACACAUUCUAUUCUGCCAUAACAGUGUAUUAGGAGGUCCUAAAGCGGACACUAUUGAACAAAUCCUUAAUAUGUGUACUGGGAACCCAAAUAAAUGUGUAAAACUGUCGUUUUUACACACAAACACA